GCCCCCAGUGCUAUAGAUUCCUCCGCCCUAUGGAUGUAUUGGUCGAGAUAAAUUUCACACUUCGGGCCGGUGAAAACGCCCACAAGAUUUAGGACUCACUUUCUCAACGACUUCCGAGAAAACAUAAAAUCCCUUUGCGAGGAAGAACACUUUCUGCUACCCAGGAGAUACGUGGCUGUUGUUGCAGCUUAGUUGCAUCAGCGCUUCAAGCUGCUAGCAGAUUCGCUGGACGGACGGAACCAGUCGUGCAGCGAUUGGCUGGAGAGGAACUGUUGUCUUCCCUUAUUGGCUGCCGCUAGAGAGACGUUGCUUCCCAGUGGUCUUCGGUUUUCCACUCUCCGUGCACAUGUUUCACGUAAACAUCCCGAGAGCAAAUUCUGAAAGUGGUUAAACUUUCAUGUCGCGGAAGGGCAGUUUACGGAACUUUACUGACAAAACAUUGUAACAUUCGUUGUGGCAUUUGCUAAUACGCGUUUGGACGCUUCCCACGGUUCAGUCGAGUUGUAACCUACAAAGUUCUGUAAAAAUACGAUUUUUAUUUCAACUGUAGGGUGAUUCAGUUUUGUCAAAAUUGUGAACUACAUUUUGACUGACUAGGUGUGUAAACAAGUGGCGCAAAUAGGCUUAUGCUCAGGUUUAUUAUUAUAUUAUUAUUUUAUGUAUAAAGCUUAUUUACGUGUUUACAUGUUCCAUUAACUGAUACUCUGAAGAGAUUUAAAACCAUCCAUUAUAGUUGAAAUGAACUCUGUUUACAUAUAUAGAUUAUUCUAAUGUAGCGCGUGUAACAGGUAGCGUCUUUAACUUCAUUAUUUCCACUUCAGCAUCAGCAUUUCUAUAAACUGCCAUUGGGAUAAGCGGAAGCUAAAUUCUGCGAUCGAGCAAAACGCAGACCCUAUCUAGCGGGAGAAAUAAAUCGGAUAGCCUUAGUUUCAUUCAUUGUUUGCCAUAUUUUGAGCAUUCCGAUUCAACUUCAGAAGGACCGGCGCCACAUUAUGCUGAGCUAUUCAAGUCAUGCGCGGUCACAGUGAGACGAAACAAAUUAUCCUCAAACUCACAAACUUAAUGCCCGUUAAUAACGGUUUUUCAAAGAAUCAAGCUUUGUUUUCCCCCCUCAGCAAAUCCUAAAGCUGAUUGAAGGAGCUAUGUCUUCCUGUUGCUAUAGUAAUAGCGAACACUGCCCCCUAUUUUAGACAUGUUUUCUGGUUGCUGUUGCCAUGGGAUUUGCAACGAGCGCUCUCGCUCCCUCUUUCGGCGCGUGUUUUUCAGUUUUGUCUCUGUUGAAUAAAAACGACAUUCCCUGCAAAGUUACUUCAGUCUUUAACAAACACAACUGCAACAAGUGUCUUUCCUUAACCUUUUUCAUUGAAAUUACUUAUUCGCCAUAUUAAUACGCGCCCUUCACAGUCUACAGAUGUGAAGUUGACUAAUGACUAAGUUGAGUCGUCACAAAUAUUAUAAAACUAGCUUUUUGGGUUGUGAUAGGAUAUAGUAAUACAAUUGAAAAGCGGUAAUCAUCUUGCCAAAACAGAAAACCCGAACAGACAGAGGAAAGUGUAAAACUGUCAGAAGGAAUAUGCCGUAUAGCUUCAGCAGAGGGUUACGUCUUCCUCGACUGAGGAGAAAUUGAUUUUAUUUACACUUAAUAGCCCUGCAUGAACCAAGAUGACACCUGCUUUCUCGAGGAGCAGUCAGAGAGCGACGGGAUCAAAGAGGGGCUUCUGAAGGUACUGUGAUACUGUAAUUCCUCUUGUGAGUCGGCUCAGCCUCGCAGUUGUAGAAGUGAGGCCUGAUGCAAUCUUCGUGACCGCAGUCGUAACGUUGAAGAGACUGAGAUAAUAAUGGUUGUUGAAGUGUGGGAUCUCUCCCAGGAAAGCGCUGACUCUCCCAACUCGCCGUGUCUUAAUUGGUCCGUGGGGGCGCCCUGUUUGCGCAAAGCGUGAGAGAAAGUCAGCAGUACACACAUACACACACACACACACACACACACACACGGGCACCUCAGCCACAGACUGCUCCAGUGCUGUUGGGCCAUCAUACUUUGAGUUUCUGUUUGUAUUGAGAUUUUUUUUCCCCACUUUAAAUAGCUGAUGUUGCAAAUAGAGAUGUAGGUCCAGGCCGUGGAGUUAAUUAAUCACAGCUUUUGAGGAUUAAAAACGCUGGUUGGAGUGAUAAAUCUGUUCCCCUCCAUAAAUCCAGCUGUCCAUAUGUGAAACAAUUAAAAUAAGCUCAUUCAAACGUGAAAUGCUGUUUUUAGGGUGCCUAUGUCUAAAUCGAUAAACACUAUUAAAAGCUAAUGUUAUGAUUUUAUGUUUGUUUAUUUCUUUCAUUCACUUUGUUUUUGGCCUCUUAAAAGCUCCCCCUCCGGCAUAUUCUGUAUGUUAGUCAGAUUAUAAGUAAGGAGUGGGUGAGAGAGCAAACGCACCAUGCCAAGUUCAUGUAUAGCACACAUUAGUAACAGUUACAUCACAAUUUCAUCACCAUCUUCUUCUGAAUUCAUUGUUGUCUCUCUUUUUUUUCAUUCCCCUGCACGAGCGAUCAAAUCGUUUAAAGUUUUGAUUACUUGCUGUAACUUUUUUUUUUUUUAGUUUUAUAAGACCCAACGUAAAUCAUCUAGUAGAAAUCCCAGUAAAAUUGCUAUUGUUUUAUUUCCCACUAAAGCACCACAUCGUGGGAAUCGGAAUAACCUUUCAACAGGUUUCAAGAGGUUUGACGACCCCCUCCCCCCAAACAUGCCCUAUUUAGAAUAACAAACUUGCAAGAUAAAGAUGUGACUAAUAACCCAUGUUGCAUGGCAUGAACUAACCGCAGUCAUUUCACUGACUGUUCCUCCGGGAGCGCGAGGCAGCGUUAAAGUUGUUUGAUUUUCAGAAAGUGCAUUUGUCUCGCGCCUCCCGCGGGACGCCGCCGCUGUGUUUGGGGUGUGUGGCGCAUCUCAAACUAAACACGAGCCACUCAAGGACAAACUCAAGGAGUUAUUGUGCUGGAAUUCCCCCAGCCCCUUGUGUAUACUUAAUUUUUCUGAAUGGUUAUUAUUUACGUUUAUGUGAAUUUCCAUUUGUAAACAUUGAAAGCUCCAGUGUGUCUGAGCGAGCGCGCGCGCUGCUCCUGUGUGGAGAUGCUCGCUGGUUCUCAUGGUUGGAUUAGGUCGGUUGAUCACGGCUUCAAAGUGGAGGGCUCUAGGUUCCCGAGUGACUCCCCUCAAAUGUCUCCGAGUUGAUCUUCUGCACCGGCUCAACAGUUGAUCAUGUCAGCUCAGUCCCUAGGUGAUUUUAAGGCACAAACCUUCCCCUCUUGCUUUGAUAUGCGAGACUUCUGCUGCUCUUUGAAACUCAAAGAUCUUAUAGGUUUAAUUAGCGUCUUUGUAGGUUGUUUACAAGUUACAUUUUUUUGAACUAAAAGCGACGUCCUUAUUUAAAUUUGUUGUCUCGUUCUUUGCAUUUAUUAUGUUCGUUGAGUUAGUUCCUUUUGCUUUUAUGUUGCUUAAUUUUAAAGUGAGAUGAAUUAGCAUCAAGUGAUAAAUUAAUUGGUGAGCCUCUGCUGGUGUAGACAGAUGGCAUCAUUAUAACGCUGAUGACAUUUGUAGUUGCAUUUAACUGUUAUGGUAAUGACUGGGUGCGAGGCAGAGAAGAAAACAAGCUCAGGGCCCCGGGGCCUCAGCAGAACACAGAGGGGAACGCACAUCCAGCCCUUGCAUCUGGAGCAUGAAAAACGCGCUGAAGCUGUGAGACAUGACGAGUUGCGCCCUCUACCGAGCACACUGGGGAAACCAACCAACGAACAGCUUCGCGAGCGAGCUCUCUACUGUUUAUUCUCCACGGACAUUUUCACUCAAACAGAGAUAUGUAAUGGAAAGUGUUUUAAACUAAAACAAAAUGUUUAUUUUCAAAGUAAAACAAAUGCACACGUUUGUUUUUAAUUUAUAAACUUUAUUGUUUAUACUGUGGGACUGUCUUGGGAAUUUCCCUUUACAUUAACGGACAGUUACAGAUGUAACUGAUGUCUGGCUUAAGAACGUGUGUUUUGCGGUUACGAGUCAGUUUUACUGAGCCCUCACAUUACUCACAGCAGGCGGAACUGACCCCCUGGUGCCAUAAAUUUGAUUUGCCAGUCGUUGUUUUUUCUGUUAGGCAAAUGUAGCACUGGUUUAAAGCAUAAUGGUUUGUGUCAUGUGAAUGAUAUCAACGCUUUAGGUAGGCUAUAAAAUAUUUUGAGAAGAUCUUUUCUGUUUUGUCGUUUAGUUAAAUGCAUGGAUCAAGGCGAUUAUACCAGUAUGAUUAUACAUAGUGUUAUUUUUUAUCUGUGAACAUACAUAAUUUCUUAGGGGAGACUGGGGCUAGUUAUCACACAGGAAAGUUGUUACAAUGGUUAAUCUCAAUAACUAUAACGUUUUGAGUUAAAAGUUCAAUUACAAAACGUUGAAGAUUUUUUCUAUACAAAACUACUUUUUAAAAAAAAAUUGAAUAAUAUUUUAGUAACAGCUGUUUGGUUAACAAGCAGAAAAAAAACAUGGAAAAUGGAAACGUGGAAAAAUACAUCUAUAUAAUUUAUUAAUUACAAUAUUUGUUGUCCAAAACUGCUUUUUGCAUUUUCAUAAAUUUUGUAACAAUUGUUUUAGUAAUGAACUGCAACUUUCUUUCUUUUUUUCCUGGGCAAUAAUGGUCAAAUAUUUUGCAGUCAAAACUUUAAGGUAUAUGUCUACAGAAAUUGAUAUUUAAAAAAAAAAAAAUAAACCAACCCUGAAAAACAUUCACUGGAGUAAAAGCUGCGACAGCUAGCCCUGCUUUAUGCGACUACAAGAAAACAUAGUUUGUUAUACUGUUUUUUUAUUUGCCUCAGAGUAUAUAAUACUAGUUUUGUCAAUUGGAAAAAGUUAAUAUUUAGAAAUACAUUGUUAGUGUUAUAACACUGAAUUAUCAAAAGUUCGCACUGUUCUUCUCAUUGACUUAGACGAUGUCCAAGAGGAUAUCAAUAAUCUAAAUAGCACAAUACACAAAAUAUCUGAUUAUAAAUCAUAGUGGCACAUCCACACAUUUUUAAAACCCUGAAAUAAAAGAUGUGCAAAUCAGAAUACACAUAUCAACAAUAUCAACAUGGGUAAAGCUUUGGCAAGACAAAACCUGUUGGUACAAAAGUACCAAAAUUUUAAAAACAAAAAUAUUUACUGCAAUGGUCCCCCACCAAAUAAUCCUGUAUAAUAAUAUAGUUACAAAUCAGGUAGCAGGCAUAUAGUUUUUAGUUACAUGUCUGAGCACCUGAGGCAUUUGUUUAAGAAUCUUUGCAGCAAAAAAAAAAAGGAUAUAAUUAUAUAUUAUACA